rnacentral:pre_miRNA from 1 species
AGAUGCAGACUACAUGGUUGGGGCCCACGUGGUGAUCGUAACAAAUGCUUAAAGACCUUAUGGUUCAAAAUCGUUGGCAAUGGCUCAGGUGCAUC